rnacentral:rRNA from 1 species
UACGGAGGAUCCGAGCGUUAUCCGGAUUUAUUGGGUUUAAGGGGUGCGCAGGCGGGAUGUUAAGUCGGCGGUGAAAUUUUGCAGCUCAACUGUAAAAGUGCCUUCGAUACUGGCUUCCUUGAGUGUGGAUGAAGUAGGCGGAAUUUGUGGUGUAGCGGUGAAAUGCUUAGAUAUCACGAGGAACUCCGAUUGCGCAGGCAGCUUACUAAACCACUACUGACGCUCAUGCACGAAGGCGUGGGGAUCAAACAGGAUUAGAUA